UACGGUAGGGGGCAAGCGUUGUCCGGAAUCAUUGGGCGUAAAGAGCGCGUAGGCGGCCCUGUAAGUCCGCUGUGAAAGUCAAGGGCUCAACCCUUGGAUGCCGGUGGAUACUGCAGGGCUAGAGUCCGGAAGAGGCGAGUGGAAUUCCUGGUGUAGCGGUGAAAUGCGCAGAUAUCAGGAGGAACACCGAUGGCGAAGGCAGCUCGCUGGGACGGUACUGGACGCUGAGGCGCGAAAGCGUGGGGAGCAAACAGG
rnacentral:rRNA from 1 species